rnacentral:lncRNA from 1 species
ACGAGCCAGGUGCGCCGAGGCCGGAGGGGCGGGGCCGCGGGCUGUCGGGAACCCCGGUAUCCCAGAGCGGGCUGGGUCGGGCGGGUCUCUGGGACUGGAUCAGGCGGGUCUCUGGGACUGGAUGGAGACGUAGACACGAGAGGAGACGCUCCCGACUCUGGGAGCAAGGGGACGUAAAACUAAAACGUGCGCCCGCGGGAAGUCGAGGACGGAGGCGCGGUAAGGGCUUGAUCCGAGCGCGGUCGGCGGACAGCUGCGGAGGCGAAGGGUGCUUCGUACUGGACGUGGCACGCAGAACCCAGGACCGCGCUCGCCUUCACUAGUCCUCUGCUUAUUCAUUCAUUCGCAUUUUGCCCUGUGCAUGGAAGAAACCCUUUCCUCCAGCGCUCUCAGGUUCGACUCGAAUAAAGUUUCCCAACAUCACAAUUGCAGGACUUGCUGGAGCGUAUUUUAGCACACGUUUGUAUAAAUAGGUAGUAUAGAAAUACUACGUGAUAGAGCUGCACAAGAAGGAAAAGGAAGCUCGAUGUAAUGCAGAUAAAAGCAAAAUGCAUACAGGACAAAGGAGUUGUGAGGAACAAGUGCAAUGCAAAGGCCCCAAAUCCUCCACCACCAAAGAAUGUGCUUCUCUCCAAGUCCUCCCACCAGCCUCCCAGAACCGGUUUACAUACACCAAUCCACCCUCUGACCUCCGGGUUCCAACUAACCCCGGCCCAAGAAAAAAAUAAGUAAUAAAGGAAAGAGUGAAAAAAAUGGUGAGAGGAAAUUAGAAAUAUGAUGCCCAGCCGGGCAUGGUGGCGCACGCCUGUAAUCCCAGGAGCUCCGGAAACUGAGGCAGGAGGAUCGCGAGUUCAAACCCAGCCUCUGUAAUUUAGAAAUAGCCUUAUGCAACUCAGCGAGACUCUUGUCUAUUGAUAACGUAUUUACAAAAAAAAAAGGCUGGGGACGUGACAUAGUGGUUAAAUGCCCUGGGUUCAAUCCCCAGUACCAAAAACAAACAAACAUGAUGCCCAAAAGUGUAUUAAAGACUGGCAGAAUUCGAUGAUGUCAUUAAUCUCUUACCCAUUUCCUGACUCCCACCUUUGCUUCCCUUCUUCCUCUUUCAGUGCCUGAAAAUUGCCUCUCACUUCAAAAUAAAAAAGAUAAAUAUCUAAGCUAAUGAAUGUUAAUUAGCUCCAUUUAGCCAUUCCCCAACAUACAUAUAUUUCAAAACAAUAUGUUGUACACCAUAAAUAUCUACAAUUUUUGUCGAUGAAGAAAACAAACUCAAAACAGAGAAAAAUGAUUAUUUCCUACUUUGGGAAUUAAAUUUUCCUGUUUGGGAUAUUAAUUAUUAAGGAUUAGUCAAACAUUUAUAAAACUAUGCAUGCCAAUAGAGUUUCAAGGUCACAUUCCUCAAAUAUAAAGUCUCACAUCACACUGUUUAUAUGAAAGAGAAAUGUAUUAAUCAGAAUAACAGGAUGGAAAAAAAAACUUUUGUUUUCUGAGAAGUGCGAAAUACACAAAUGACACUCAUUCCAGUGUACACCCCAAGAUAAUCUGAGGAGACAUUAUCACCCUUUAUAAAUUAUAAAUAUCACAGCUGUUGAACAGAGGCUAUUUUUGUUCAUUCUUGGGGUCAUCUUUCUUGCUGACAAGAAGUAUCAUUAAAGAAUCACUUGAUCUAGCUGGCGAUUCAGAGAAAACAGUUAUUUUUAAUGCUGAACUUAUAUGUAGUUAAGGGCCACUCCUUGGGUAUUGAUUUGAGUGAGAAAACAAACUGUGUAUUCAGCUUUUGAGAUACAGAUGGAUUUUUGUCUCUUGUUCUAAUGUCCCAGUGAAAGAUGUUCAAAAGUCUUUAAGUUAGAAUGCUUUGGGGGCAUGUAUGAUUUUGUCCAAGAGAACUCAAAUACUAUGUAUAAUUAUAAUACUCUAAUAAAAAUAAUAAUAAAUUAGAAUGCUUUCUUUUCUUUAGAAUUUAAUCUUUA